rnacentral:snRNA from 1 species
ACACUCACUUCAGCAGCACCUAUACUAAAAUUGGAAUGAUACAGGGAAGAUUUGCAUGGCCUUGCAAGGAUGACAUGCAAAUUUGUGACAUGUUCCAUACUAGA